AAUUCAAGAGGACACUGGUCCAUGGCUAUCUUUCUUUUCUUACUGUAUCUUGUAACUUCUGUGGUGCUUUAUCGAGAUUUACCAGUGUAAUACAUCUGGGAGUCUCAGGAAAUGUGAUGUUGAAGCAUAUUAACAAUUGUCACCACCCUACUUACCAAGUAUGUUUUCCUUAUUGAAAUCUGACUCGGCAGUGACCCAAUUCCAGAAUCCCAACAUGAAGGGCUGCUUUCCAGACUCUGUGUAACAAGCUGUCCUGGUUUGGCUUCACUGUGAAAGCCAAACCAGAGAUGGCCCUGGAUUGAUUUGCCAAAGAUCCACCCAGGAAUCCUGACUCAUUAAAGAAGGGUGGAGAUUUUCUGAGCUAAGCGAGAGACCUUUCCUCAGAGGUCAUUUUCUCUUCGACUUCUUCUGAGGCAACUCCUGCAGCCAGCCCCCAAAGACAGAAUCAGAUAAUAGGAAUUCAAAAACCUAACUUAACUGUGAGCCAUGUUACAAGGUUCAAGACCUUCAGCAACAGCCAGUUUUACUAAGUUACUAAUAGUCAAGGAGCAAAUACAUCAGCACCAGCUGAAGAAGAAAGGGAAGUAGAUAUGGAGCACUGCAAAUUUGCUUCUGCGCAAAAGGAAAAGGCAGCUGAAAAACAGUUUUGGCAAAUUAAAUUGCAAAUGAUUCAGCCCCAUCAAGCUAGUCAAUGAGAAAAAAAAAGGACAAAUUUUUAUUCCGACAUGGUGAGUAAUGUCUUUUUUAUGACAAAAUAGAAAAUAAACAGUACCCAAGCGAUUGUUGACAGCUAAAGGUUACUAAUGUCCAGAAUUUCCCUCAGGAC
rnacentral:lncRNA from 1 species